AGCGUGAUUACUGCCGCACUCCCUCACUCUACACUCUGAUGCCUACAAAAAUAGUUGUUGUAGAUAUAUAUAUAUAUAUAAAAUAUAUAGAUUGAUUGGAAGAAUUUCAAAGAGAUUUGCCAACGAAAUCAAGAAGAACAUGCAAGAAAGAAUUCUACAACAUGCAUGUAUAGAUAAUAA